UUAGACCAAUAGCUGAUCUGGAAUUUCUGUUACAAAAAGCUAGUCGUCGUCAUGAAACUGCUAUUCGCUUGUGAGUUUCUGUGGAUGAUGGUUGCAAUCUUCACGGUGAAAAGUUUCAAAACUUUUUGUCUUCAAUAAUUAUCAUUAUCUUGUUAGAUGUUAUAUUUCCACUUACGACAAAAAGAUCUUUCAACGAAUUGUAUAAUGACAAGGAUUCUUUUUCAUGCUCCACAAAGUGACUUAAUCUGUAUUCGUGAAAUAUCACGUCUAUGAUAUUAAUUGUUUGUUAUGAAUCUUCUGGAAAUUAUUCUUAAUCGGAUAAAUAUAAAAUACAGUCCAAGCCAAGAAAUAUAAACUAGUGGAAAAAAGUAGAAAUUUACUACUUAGAAACUAUUAAGAAGCUACUUUUGACAAUCGUAUUAUCAUGUUGAAACUUUGAUACUAUAACAAGUAUGUAUUGAUAAGGAUUAUAACUGAUAUUACUGCAUGGUUGCAACAUUGUUAUUGAGAUAUUGGAGGAAUCUAUUUGUAAAACAGAACAAUGCUUCUAGCAGUACAUCAGAACAUAUAAGCCAAAUGCAAUCAAGAGUACAUAAGAAUUAAGAAUGUAGUUACCUGAAAUUUUGAAUAAAUGAGAAUUUGGAAGAAUUUUUGGAGAGAGCUGCAAUAAAAGUCUGCCGAAUCACUCAUUCAAUUCUUAACUUGGUAUUUCUUGACAAUGAAAAACAAGCAAAAUCGAAUAAAUGAUUUCAAUUGUAAUAAGUAUCUUUAAAAUAUUUUGUAUGUCGUCAUAUGGUAUUAUUAAUUAUAAUAAUAAGCUAAUGCAUUAACAAUUCAUAUGAAAUUAAAUAAUAUUCUAUACAAAUAGUCAGCGAAUAACUUAAACUAACGUUAACUAACUUUAACAUAACUUUUAUAACUUAUAUAACUUUUAUAACUUUAUAUCAUCUGUUUAUAUUCUAGUUACUGUCAAAUUACACGCAUAUUUUCUUAACUUUCUUAAUGUGAAAUAAAAUUUUUUAAAUUGAAA